UGGGGAAUAUUGCACAAUGGGCGAAAGCCUGAUGCAGCAACGCCGCGUGAGUGAUGAAGGUCUUCGGAUUGUAAAGCUCUGUCUUUUGGGACGAUAAUGACGGUACCAAAGGAGGAGGCCACGGCUAACUACGUGCCAGCAGCCGCGGUAAUACGUAGGUGGCGAGCGUUGUCCGGAUUUACUGGGCGUAAAGGGUGCGUAGGCGGAUGUUUAAGUGAGAUGUGAAAUACCCGGGCUUAACUUGGGUGCUGCAUUUCAAACUGGAUAUCUAGAGUGCAGGAGAGGAGAAUGGAAUUCCUAGUGUAGCGGUGAAAUGCGUAGAGAUUAGGAAGAACACCAGUGGCGAAGGCGAUUCUCUGGACUGUAACUGACGCUGAGGCACGAAAGCGUGGGUAGCAAACAGGAUUAGAUACCCUGGUAGUCCACGCCGUAAACGAUGAGUACUAGGUGUAGGAGGUAUCGACCCCUUCUGUGCCGCAGUAAACACAUUAAGUACUCCGCCUGGGAAGUACGAUCGCAAGAUUAAAAC
rnacentral:rRNA from 1 species